CUAAUUUGCUGACGAGUGGCGCACGGGUGCGUAACGCGUAUGCAAUCUACCUUGUACUGGAGUAUAGCCCAGGGAAACUUGGAUUAAUCCUCCAUAGUCUAUUGAUAUGGCAUCGUAUUAAUAGUAAAGGUUACGGUACAAGAUGAGCAUGCGUCCUAUUAGCUAGUAGGUGUGGUAACGGCACACCUAGGCAACGAUAGGUAGGGGUCCUGAGAGGGAGAUCCCCCACACUGGUACUGAGACACGGACCAGACUCCUACGGGAGGCAGCAGUGAGGAAUAUUGGACAAUGGGCGGGAGCCUGAUCCAGCCAUGCCGCGUGCAGGAAGACUGCCCUAUGGGUUGUAAACUGCUUUUAUACGGGAAGAAUAAGUGUUACGUGUAGCACGAUGACGGUACCGUAAGAAUAAGCACCGGCUAACUCCGUGCCAGCAGCCGCGGUAAUACGGAGGGUGCAAGCGUUAUCCGGAAUCAUUGGGUUUAAAGGGUCCGUAGGUGGACUAAUAAGUCAGUGGUGAAAGUCUGCAGCUUAACUGUAGAAUUGCCAUUGAUACUGUUGGUCUUGAAUUGUUGUGAAGUAACUAGAAUAUGUAGUGUAGCGGUGAAAUGCAUAGAUAUUACAUAGAAUACCGAUUGCGAAGGCAGGUUACUAACAAUAUAUUGACACUGA
rnacentral:rRNA from 1 species